GGACAUGGCCACUUCCCGCGCGGAAGGGAAGCCACCCGCCCCAGCCAGGGCGAGCGCGGCCUGCCUCGCGCGAGGUGCUGUGCGUGCCCCGCGAGGUGCCGUGCGAGCCGCGCGAUCGUGCCUGGCCUGCUCGCAAGCGCGCGCUGCCUGCCCCGCGAUCGUGGGCAGCUUGCCUCGCGAGCCUGCGCUGCUUGCCGCGCGAGUGGGGGCUGCAUGGCGUGCGCAAGCCUUGCCUCGCUCGAGCGUGGGCUGCGUGCCUUGGUGGCGAGCGCCCGCUGCCUUGCCUCGCUCGAGCGUCGGCAGUUUGCCGCGCGAGUGCCAGGUGCAUGCCGCGCGCGCGCUCGUAUCCUUCCCCGCCAGCGUGCGCUGCGGGCACGCGAGGCUGGGCUACAUCCCUCGCACGAGUUCGCGCUGCCUUCCUCGCGAGUGGGUGAAGCAUGCCUUACUCGGAAAUGGGCAGCCUCGCGCGCAAGAGUUGGCUUCCUUGCCGCGCGAGCGUGGGCAGCCUCGCGCGCCAGCGUUGGCUGCCUUGCCGUGCGAGGGUGGGCAGNGUUUUCUCCUGUGGCUAAACCCCACGCCGCCCCGAAAACGCGAAUUUUGGCCCUUUCUGGCCGAAAAAUGGGUCCCCCUGCGCGUUCGGUAAAUUGGCCAUAAAACGAGAUCCGGACCUCGGAAUAGACUUCCGUCUCCUCCGACGGUUAACAAACGCACAUAUCUACAAUGCCGGCCCAAAAUCCCCUGCCGCCCCGAAAACGCGAAAUUUGGGCAAAAUCCGUGUGCUCAAAAUGGCCACGGUUUUUGGCCAUUUUUGCCCAAAAUUUGGGACCCCGAGCUCCGGCAUAAUUUCCACCACUUUUUGGUCCCAUCAGAUAAUUCAGGUCGAUAUACGGCGCCUCCUAAAAUUUCAGCCCAUUCCGGUGCCGUUUGCAUAUCUUACGAGUAAUUUUGUGUCCCGGUUUAUCCAUUUUGGACGAUUUUAAAAACUGUUUUCCAGCGGCCAAAAAAUUGUUCCCUAAGCCCGCCAUCUACUUGAGUCCUGAGACUAAUUGCAGCAUCCGGCCCAUGGUGGUUUCUCGCAUGACGCCUAAUUGCAGCAUCCGGCCCCCAUGGAACAGCGGUAGCAGCGCCGGAAGGGACAUGGCCACUUCCCGCGCGGAAGGAAGCCACCCGCCCCAGCCAGGGCGAGCGCGGCCUGCCUCGCGCGAGGGUGCUGUGCGUGCCCCGCGAGGGUGCCGUGCGAGCCGCGCGAUCGUGCCUGGCCUGCUCGCAAGCGCGCGCUGCCUGCCCCGCGAUCGUGGGCAGCUUGCCUCGCGAGCCUGCGCUGCUUGCCGCGCGAGUGGGGGCUGCAUGGCGUGCGCAAGCCUUGCCUCGCUCGAGCGUGGGCUGCGUGCCUUGGUGGCGAGCGCCCGCUGCCUUGCCUCGCUCGAGCGUCGGCAGUUUGCCGCGCGAGUGCCAGGUGCAUGCCGCGCGCGCGCUCGUAUCCUUCCCCGCCAGCGUGCGCUGCGGGCACGCGAGGCUGGGCUACAUCCCUCGCACGAGUUCGCGCUGCCUUCCUCGCGAGUGGGUGAAGCAUGCCUUACUCGGAAAUGGGCAGCCUCGCGCGCAAGAGUUGGCUUCCUUGCCGCGCGAGCGUGGGCAGCCUCGCGCGCCAGCGUUGGCUGCCUUGCCGUGCGAGGGUGGGCAGCCUCGCGCGCCAGCGUGCGCAGCCUCGCGCGCGAUCGUUGGCUUCCUUGCCGCGCGAGCGUGCGCAGCCUGGCGCGCGAGCGUCGGCUUGCUUGCCGCGCGAGCGUGCGCAGCCUCGCGCGCCAGAGUGCGCAGCCUUGCCGCUCGAGCGUGGGCAGCCUUGCCGCGCGAGAGUUGGCUGCCUUGCCGCGCGAGAGUGGGCAACCUCGCGCGCCAGCGUGCGCAUCCUUGCCGCGCGAGCGUGCGCAGCCUGGCGCGCGAGCGUGGGCUUGCUUGCCGUGCGAGCGUUGGUAACGCGCGCCAUCUUGGGCAGCCUCGGGCGCCAGCGUGCGCAGCCUCGCCCACAGUGCGCAGCCUUGCCGCUCGAGCGUGGGCAGCCUUGCCGCGCCAGAGUUGGCUGCCUUGCCGCGCGAGUGUGGGCAACCUCGCGCGCCAGCGUGCGCAUCCUCGCGCAAGAUCGUUGGCUGCCUUGCCGCACGAGAGUUGGCUGCCUGCGCGCGAUGGUGCCGCGCGCUGGUGCGCUUGCUGCGCGCGAUGGUGCCGCGCGCUGGGGAGCUUGCUGCGCGCGAUGGUGCCGCGCGCUGGGGAGCUUGCUGCGCGCGAUGGUGCCGCGCGCUGGGGAGCUGGCUGCGCGCGAUGGUGCCGCGCGCUGGGGCGCUCGCUGCGCGCGAUGGUGCCGCGCGCAAUCUCGCUAACUGCUCGCGAUGGUGCCGCGCGCUGGCGCGCUUGCUGCGCGCGAUGGUGCCGCGUGAAGGAGCCGCGCGCAAUCUCGCUAACUGCGCGCGAUGGUGCCGCGCGCUGGCGCGCUUGCUGCGCG
rnacentral:lncRNA from 1 species